rnacentral:rRNA from 1 species
CAGUCGCCGCGGGAAUACGAAGGGUGCAAGCGUUAAUCGGAAUUACUGGGCGUAAAGCGUGCGUAGGCGGUGAGUUAAGUCUGCUGUGAAAUCCCCGGGCUCAACCUGGGAAUGGCAGUGGAUACUGGCUCGCUAGAGUGUGUCAGAGGAUGGUGGAAUUCCACGUGUAGCAGUGAAAUGCGUAGAGAUGUGGAGGAACACCGAUGGCGAAGGCAGCCCCCUGGGCCAAUACUGACGCUCAUGCACGAAAGCGUGGGGAGCAAACAGGAUUAGAUACCCGUGUAGUCCCUGUCUCUUAUAC